rnacentral:rRNA from 1 species
CCCUUAGAUGUUCUGGGCCGCACGCGCGCUACACUGUUCGACGCAGCGAGUCUUAACCUUGACCGAAAGGUUUGGGUAAUCUUCAGCAAAGUCGAACGUGAUGGGGAUCGAUCAUUGCAAUUAUUGAUCGUGAACGAGGAAUUCCUAGUAAGUGCAAGUCAUCAGCUUGCGCUGAUUACGUCCCUGCCCUUUGUACACACCGCCCGUCGCUACUACCGAUUGAAUGGUUUAGUGAGAUCUCUGGAUUGACGCUGGCUAGGGGGCGACCCUUGGCCAGGCUGUCGAAAAACUGCUCAAACUUGAUCAUUUAGAGGAAGUAAAAGUCGUAACA